rnacentral:rRNA from 1 species
AGGGCACCACCAGGAGUGGAGCCUGCGGCUUAAUUUGACUCAACACGGGAAAACUCACCCGGCCCGGACACUGGAAGGAUUGACAGAUUGAGAGCUCUUUCUUGAUUCAGUGGGUGGUGGUGCAUGGCCGUUCUUAGUUGGUGGAGCGAUUUGUCUGGUUAAUUCCGAUAACGAACGAGACUCUAGCCUACUAAAUAGAUCGUCGGCUUACAAACGCCGAUGAGACUUCUUAGAGGGACAGGCGGCGAUUCAGCCGCACGAAACAGAGCAAUAACAGGUCUGUGAUGCCCUUAGAUGUCCGGGGCCGCACGCGCGCUACACUGAAGUGAUCAGCGUGCAUUUUCAGCCUACUCUGCCAAGAGUGGGAAACCCAAUGAACCUUCUUCGUGAUUGGGAUAGGGGAUUGUAAUUAUUCCCCUUGAACAAGGAAUUCCCAGUAAGCGCGAGUCAUAAGCUCGCGUUGAUUACGUCCCUGCCCUUUGUACACACCGCCCGUCGCUACUACCGAUUGAAUGUUUU